ensembl:misc_RNA Metazoa_SRP Metazoan signal recognition particle RNA
GCUGGGCAUGGUGGCUCAUGCCUGUAAUCCCAGCACUUUGGGAGGCUGAGGCAGGCGGAUCACCUGAGGUCAGGAGUUCGAGACCAGCCUGGCCACCAUGGUGAAACCCUGUCUCUA